AAUCAAUGCUAGGGAGCAGAUCUCCAGGGAGGAAGACAGAGUGGGCCUGGAAUAUUCUUCAGCAUCACUGCUUCCAUUCCCAGCCACGCCUGGCAAGAGGGAGGAAACAUCCUGUCACAGAACCUAUGUUUUCUGGGUGGACGAAACCAGGUGUCCUGGAGGAAGCAGCGUCAGAGUCUCAGGAUCUCGAUGUGGACAGGCACCCUGAUACAAAAGAACGGUAAGAUGGGGUACAAAAUGGAUUCUGCAGGUACCGGGAGGACGUUGCAAAUCCCAAUGAAGCUCAGAAUUUUGCUAGAGCCGAACCCCAGCUUGGAGGAGCGUAAGCCCUGGGAUAACUUCUUUAAUCAGAAUCUGGCCUGAGUCCCUGCUCGAAGCUCAAGCACCCGGGGCCUCGCGGCCGCCUGCAGUACUCCCCUCCCACCGCGGGCCAGGGCCGACUGGAAAACGGAGCAGGCCAUCCCCAGAGCACGGGUCCCGUGGCCACGUUGAGUGUCGCAGAGUACGGGACGCAGGGCGGGGCUUCUGGACCAGCGCGCAUCCCAAUUGGCUCUCGGGGCUGC
rnacentral:lncRNA from 10 species